UACGGAGGGUGCAAGCGUUAUCCGGAUUCACUGGGUUUAAAGGAUGCGUAGGAGGGCAGGUAAGUCAGUGGUGAAAUCUCCAAGCUUAACUUGGAAACUGCCGUUGAUACUAUCUGUCUUGAAUACCGUGGAGGUGAGCGGAAUAUGUCAUGUAGCGGUGAAAUGCUUAGAUAUGACAUAGAACACCAAUUGCGAAGGCAGCUCGCUACACGAAUAUUGACUCUGAGGCACGAAAGCGUGGGGAUCAAACAGG
rnacentral:rRNA from 1 species